GUGCGACUCUUCCGAAUAGUGCCACAGGCCACGGUCUCGAAGCAGUACAACAUUUUUAACAGUGGGAUGCUAUUAUAAAAGUUAUCGAUGUAUAAAUGAUAACCUUUAUUAAGUAGUGGCAUUAUUAAGUCCCAGACAAUUUUCCCAUUUGUCCCUACUAUAUCUGGGCAACCUGGGGGAUCAAGGUGACUAUCCCUUCCUUCGUACACACGGAAGGUGUAUACGUAGCCACUGCCACU